rnacentral:lncRNA from 1 species
UAGACCCAUUUUGCUCACAAGACAUGACAGUCUCAAAAGCUACCACUUUAGCAUGUGGGUUCCUAGAAGGACAUCUGUCUUGGUCAGACAUAGCUGGAGUGUUGUGUUGAGUGGCGGACCUCACAUUUGUUGUUGAAGUUUUUCAUACCUUUACCUUCUGUCUUGGAAUCGAUACUGUGUACUGGUUCCAAGGCAAAGAGAGCUAAAGGCUGGGCAAUGGGGGUUGUGACUUGCCCAGGGUCACACAGCUAGGAAGUAAUUGAGGCCAGUUUUGAACCCAUGACUUCCCAUCUCUAGGACUGGCUCUCAAUCCACUGAGCCACUUAACUGUCCCCAAUGGACUCCACAUUUUAAGAACAUUGACACACUGGACUGGGUACCAAAGAAAAUUAAGAAGAUGAUGGGAGGACCAGAGUCAGAGCCAAGGAUAACUCAAAAUGGAGAAAAGCAAGAGAUAAAUUGAGUUCAUCUGUCACAAAGCUGGCGGUUGGCAGAAACAGACGAGAGGAAAAUAGUCGUGCACCUGAGGAGUCAACUCUAGCAGAGUGGAAGGUGCUUUAUUUAAGACUCAGAAGAUGCAGCUGGAAAGAACUCUAAGCCACAACCUAGAAAGAUGUUUCCCUUUGCAUAUGGGAGUCAAUCAACAACCACUGAUUAAGCAAUUACUAUGAGCUGAUAACUAUGCUGAGUUCUCAGAAUUUUUUUUAAAUGAUCCCUGCCCUCAAGGAAAUUACAUUCAUAAAUCAGCACAUACAAGGCAUUCAUCCUUCAUUUUUCAUAAAGGACCAACAAGAA